UGGCUCAGUGGUAAAGCGCUUGCCUUGCACGCAUGAGGCCCUGGGUUCGAUUCCUCAG
rnacentral:tRNA from 1 species